GAAAUGCGAUAAGUAAUGUGAAUUGCAGAAUUCAGUGAAUCAUCGAAUCUUUGAACGCACAUUGCGCCCGCCAGUAUUCUGGCGGGCAUGCCUGUCUGAGCGUCAUUUCAACCCUCAGCCCCCGUUCGCGGGGCGCUGGCGUUGGGGAUCGGCCGUCCUCCGCGGCGGCCGGCCCCGAAACACAGUGGCGGUCUCCUGCAGACUCCCCUGCGUAGUAGCACUACCUCGCAGACGGGACGAGCGGGCUGGCCACGCCGUAAAACCCCCAACUUCUCAAGGUUGACCUCAGAUCAGGUAGGAAUACCCGCUGAACUUAA
rnacentral:misc_RNA from 1 species